rnacentral:rRNA from 1 species
CCCUUAGAUGUCCGGGGCCGCACGCGCGCUACACUGAAGGAAUCAGCGUGGCUUUCUCCCUGACCCGAAAGGGUUGGGAAACCCGUUGAAUCUCCUUCGUGAUAGGGAUUGGGGCUUGAAAUUGUUCCCCAUGAACGAGGAAUUCCCAGUAAGCGCGAGUCAUAAGCUCGCGUUGAUUACGUCCCUGCCCUUUGUACACACCGCCCGUCGCUACUACCGAUCGAGCGCCCUAGCGAGGUCGUCCGAUUGUCGCCGAGGCCGGCUUUCGCGAGCUGCGCAUCCGACGAAAAGGCGAUCGAACUCGAGCGCUUAGAGGAAGUAAAAGUCGUAACA